CUUCAUCAUAUAGAUGAACCUAAAGCCUAUAGAGCUGUGUGUUAGUCUAUAGAGAGCAGCAGCAGCAGCAGCGUCGGCAGCAUGCAUUGUCCCAGGAUCUAUUACAGUAUAUGGGUGCCCCCUAGCGUAUGAAGUUUUGCUUCAAAUAAGAUUCAAUUUAGAGGAGCCAUCCGACACGGAAACUGCUUCAGUCUCGUCUCCCGCAUCGACCAAACUAACGAGCACCAUUUUAAACUGAUGACUGUUUGUUUAAAUUCUGUUUUACAUGACUUGGACGGCAAAGCUUUGAGAGUUGCCAAAGUUGGAUUUACUUUUUUGCCACUUCAGACAGUCCCAGCGGUGAUCCCGUGAACAUGGAGAGUCUGUAAAUAAAAAUACACCGCAAGGUAGCUCCAUACCGAGGAUCCAGCUUUGCUUCAAAUGAAGUGCUUCAUUGUGAUGUUGCUAUAUAUGCAAAGAUGAAGGAGAGAGAAAAAAAAAGUAGACCAAUUAGUCAAAUGUCUGCUUGUACAUUGGGCUUCAUUAAGGUAAGGAAUAUCUGCUGACAAAACAUAAUUAAAGUUUCAAGAAGUUACCGUAGACUCAUAGAAAGGUAUAUAAGCAAGACAUAACAUAAGCAAAAUCAUAUUUUUAAUUUUUUAAAUGUUCAUAAUAUAACUGUGUGGGCAUAAAAUGAUUAUCUCUAAAGUAUGAUACGUUACUAAGAGAUUCUUUUUCUACAAAUGACUUUCAUCUGGAUAAUGUAUGUGUGCAUAUACUCUUAGAUAUAAUUCCCUUUGAUUUGACUCACUUUCUUUCUUCAUAGUUGAUUCUUUUUACAGACUUUAAUGACAAAACUGGUCUUUAAAUGAUGCGUCUGUCUUUUUGCCUUCUAUAAAUAUGUCAUAAUACAAAUAAAAAAAGCAUUCCGUUAGUGCAGUUAACGACCCUCUCCCUUACGGUAGAUAAGGGACGCAUGUGUGUGUAAGUGAUUUGACUGUAUGCAUGUACAUAAGCUAUAUAAAGGGCAGGUAUAUAUGUUGUGAGAAAAUGACAUUCACCAUAUUGUGAAAGCGUGCUUUUAAAAACAGACAUGCAUGUUUUAGUUGAGACCAUUUUAUAAAGAGUUCAAUCAGCGGUGUAGAUCACUUUCUCUCUGUCUGUGUGCCCCAAGGGCCGCUAUCUAAAAAGGCAAUAGAUCCCAGAUAGCUCACUGUGUUCAAUUUGCCAAUGAUAGAUUAUAGUGCCAAUUUAAACAGAUAGGGAUCAAUUUGUCUCAAUGAUCACUCUUUAGGCAGACUGCCAGCAUGCUCUUAAUGUAUUUGUAAAUGCUGGUUGUUUGAAUCAUAGCUGUUAAAGUGGUCAAAAUUGUAGAGGAGAUGAUAUGAGAUAUCAAGGAAUGAUAAAUGAUGUAUUAUUUUGGCUGCUAAAGACUGCAUAGAUGGAGCAUAUGUGACGGUUGCUUGAGGCAGCAGCAUUGUAGCAGCAAUGACCAGAAGGUCAAUGGUUUAACUCUAAGGACUUGCUGGGAAAGUCUGGGUAGGGGAAUUGUGUGAUAAGUGCUCUCUAACCCUCAGGAACUACUGCUGAAGUACCCUUCGGCAAAGCAGCUUAAACCCCAUCUGUCCCAGUGGAGCUGCACAGCGACCGGCAGUACAACACUGCGGUUGUACCGGGCACUUGUGAGAUGUGUCUGUUUGAGUGUGACCUACCCUCCCUUUUCUUUUUUAAAAGAGGGAGAGUGGGCAGUCCACUCGCUUCACACAUCUUUUUUUUUUUCAUGUACUCAGACAGCGAAAAAGUUUGAGAGAAGACACAAGAGAGAAAGCUGUGGCAGCAUUCAGUCCUGAGCCCAGACAUGGUUCACAUGUAGCCCCAAAGGCAGCAGACAGUGUAUUGAAUUACUGUAACUGAAGGUGUAAUGUGGUAGCAGCGUGUGAGAUGUAUAAAGUACACAAAUGGAUGUAGAGAAGGCUUUCUUCAGCUUUCUGUUACAGCUAUUUAAUGUUGGAUUGUCUGGUUUACUCUCUCCAAUUUCAGCCAGAACCGUUUAUUAGUUAAAACGGCAGACGUUGUUUCUAUAGUGAUCAUUAAUGUCUCAUUAUCGUUAGAUUGACCCUAUUAUAUGAAACUGAUAUUGUCAUGUGAAAAACCUUUUAUCUCCAGGUUUUGUGGUUUCCAUGCACAGUGAGGAAUUAUAUUGUUUGUAGCAUAAAGAGAAAACAUCAACACGCACACGCCGUGUUUCUCACUUACAACUUAAGUUCGACAUUUUUGGAAACACUGAAUUUUCUUGUGACAUGUACAAUUAUGAGAUGACCAAUAAAAGUAUUACUGUUUGAAGUGUCAGUCGUUAAAUGAGUAGUAUGUGUGCUGUGUAUAACUACAACUUGCAUGAGCUGCAUCGAUGACUAAUAAAGUUUGAAGAUA